rnacentral:rRNA from 1 species
CCUACGGGUGGCAGCAGUGAGGAAUAUUGGUCAAUGGACGCAAGUCUGAACCAGCCAUGCCGCGUGCAGGAAGACGGCUCUAUGAGUUGUAAAUUGCUUUUGUACGAGGGUAAACGCAGAUACGCGUAUCUGUCUGAAAGUAUCGUACGAAUAAGGAACGGCUAACUCCGUGCCAGCAGCCGCGGUACUACGGAGGUUUCAAGCGUUAUCCGGAUUUAAUGGGGUUAAAGGGUGCGUAGGCGGUCGGAUAAGUUAGAGGUGAAAUCCCGGGGCUCAACUUCGGAAUUGCUUCUGAUACUGUUCGGCUAGAGAGUUGUUGCGGUAGGCGGAAUGUAUGGUGUAGCGGUGAAAUGCUUAGAGAUCAUACAGAACACCGAUUGCGAAGGCAGCUUACCAGGCUACUUCUGACGUUGAGGCACGAAAGCGUGGGGAGCAAACAGGAGUAGAUACCCGGGUAGUC